rnacentral:rRNA from 1 species
CCCCAGUAAACGGCGGCCGUAACUAUAACGGUCCUAAGGUAGCGAAAUUCCUUGUCGGGUAAGUUCCGACCCGCACGAAAGGCGUAACGAUUUGGGCACUGUCUCAACGAGAGACUCGGUGAAAUCAUAGUACCGGUGAAGAUGCCGGUUACCCGCGACAGGACGGAAAGACCCCGUGGAGCUUUACUGUAGCCUGAUAUUGAAAUUCGGUACAGUUUGUACAGGAUAGGUAGGAGCCUUAGAAGCGUGAGCGCUAGCUUACGUGGAGGCAUUGGUGGGAUACUACCCUAAUUGUAUUGGAUUUCUAACCCGCAGCACUUAUCGUGCUGGGAGACAGUGUCAGGCGGGCAGUUUGACUGGGGCGGUCGCCUCCUAAAGAGUAACGGAGGCGCUCAAAGGUUCCCUCAGAAUGGUUGGAAAUCAUUCAUAGAGUGUAAAGGCAUAAGGGAGCUUGACUGCGAGACCUACAAGUCGAGCAGGGUCGAAAGACGGACUUAGUGAUCCGGUGGUUCCGCAUGGAAGGGCCAUCGCUCAACGGAUAAAAGCUACCCCGGGGAUAACAGGCUUAUCUCCCCCAAGAGUUCACAUCGACGGGGAGGUUUGGCACCUCGAUGUCGGCUCAUCGCAUCCUGGGGCUGUAGUCGGUCCCAAGGGUUGGGCUGUUCGCCCAUUAAAGCGGUACGCGAGCUGGGUUCAGAACGUCGUGAGACAGUUCGGUCCCUAUCCGUCGUGGGCGUAGGAAAUUUGAGAGGAGCUGUCCUUAGUACGAGAGGACCGGGAUGGACAUACCUCUGGUGUACCAGUUGUCGUGCCAACGGCAUAGCUGGGUAGCUAUGUAUGGACGGGAUAAGUGCUGAAAGCAUCUAAGCAUGAAGCCCCCCUCGAGAUGAGAUUUCCCAACUUCGGUUAUAAG